UCUAGUUUGCCAUUAAAAUUGCAUGUACAUUGACUUUGUGGCUUGAAAAUCUCAGCAAAUCAGCCUAAUAUUGACAACAACAUUAGAUCUAGUGUAUUAUAUCAAAAUAUAUAUUGAUUGAGAGAGAGAGAAAGUGUAUUCAUUUGCUCAUUUUUCAAAUAGCACCUGGAGUUCUGUUUCCAGCUGCCACCGUAUCCUCAACUGCUACGAUAUCUUGAACGACCAUAAUGAAGACACUUACGGUUUAUUUCGUUGUCGCCUAUAUCUUGCUGUCAUUUCUCGUAUUCACAUUCCUUAUCUCAUUUCUUCUUCUUUCACCUUAUACUCUUUCAUCUUAUACUCCAUCGAUUCAUAAAUAAAACCUUCGCUAUACAUCAUUGAAUUGAGACAAUUGGAAGAGAUAUGUCUCUUCUGCCCUCAACAAAGCACACAAACUUUUUCUUUAUCUCAUUUUCCUUUUAUCGUAUAGGUGAUAAAAGUUAUCUUUUGCCCUUUCUGUUAUCCUAACUUUCA
rnacentral:lncRNA from 1 species